UCUCACUACUCAAUUCUCUGUGAAAUUAAUCAGUUAAAUCACUUUUUUUAUGCAGCCCAAGCCACACCUACCCUGGCUAUGACUCAUACAGCCUCUACGAAAAAAAAGGUUAAAAUUUUCCAGCACAGCUUUAGGCAGGGCCAUCUUUAAGGAGGGGCAGCUGCCACGGGCCCAGUUACUCCUGGGGGCCCUAAGGCAGCUGCCCCAUGGGCCCCCUGCAGCACCUGAGGUAAUCAGGGGCCACAGCCCUUUAAUAAUGCUCUGGACCGGGCCCUUGUAAUAUGGGGGUUGGCUGAAUACAAACACACAGCUAACCCCUCACACACUGCCCUGUGAUCCCUUUUCUUCUCCG